GAGACAAAGAAAGACAGAGAGCAGAAAGAAUGGACGUUCAGUCAGGCAAUAGGCGGCGGAGGGAGAAACC
rnacentral:ribozyme from 1 species